GACGUAGGGCGCGAGCGUUGUCCGGAUUUAUUGGGCGUAAAGAGCUCGUAGGCGGCUUGUUGCGUCGACCGUGAAAACCCGCGGCUUAACUGUGGGCUUGCGGUCGAUACGGGCGGGCUGGAGUUCGGUAGGGGGAGACUGGAAUUCCUGGUGUAGCGGUGAAAUGCGCAGAUAUCAGGAGGAACACCGGUGGCGAAGGCGGGUCUCUGGGCCGAUACUGACGCUGAGGAGCGAAAGCGUGGGGAGCGAACAGG
rnacentral:rRNA from 1 species